GAUGAACGCUGGCGGCGUGCUUAACACAUGCAAGUCGAACGGAAAGGCCCAAUCUUGCUUGGGUACUCGAGUGGCGAACGGGUGAGUAACACGUGGGUUAUCUGCCCUGCACUUCGGGAUAAGCCUGGGAAACUGGGUCUCAUACCGGAUAGGACGACGGCUUGGAUGCCAUUGUGGAAAGUUUUUUCGCUGUGGGAUGUGCUCGCGUCCUAUCCGCUUGUUGGUGGGGUGGUGGCCUACCAAGGCGUCGACGUGUAGCGGGCGUGAGAGGGUGUACGGCCACAUUGUGGCUGAGAUACGGCCCAGAGUCCUACAGGGGGCAGAAGUGGGGAAUAUUGCACAAUAGGGGCGAGCCUGAUGCAGAGAAGCGGCGUGGGGGAUGUCGGCGUUCGGGUUGUAAACUCCGUUCGCUAGAGACGAAGCGUUUGUGUGACGGUUACUGGAGAAGAAGCAACGGCUAACUACGUG
rnacentral:rRNA from 1 species